GGGUGCUUUUGGUUAUCAAUCGAAAGCAUGACACAAGUUUUGCAGACGGUAGAUAAACAAAAACCCCGAAAGUAAAUUUUCAUUAACUAACGAGGUUUAAGUGAUGUACCCAACAAUGCAAAUCUUAGCCUCUAUUUUGAUAAGAGGCAAGUAAAAUGCUGAAAAA
rnacentral:antisense_RNA from 15 species